ACUUGGUUAGCUUAUUUAAAGCAUUACUCUGAAGAGGUAAAGAAAAGUUUCAUUACUAAGUA
rnacentral:tRNA from 1 species